UAGGGAAUCUUCGGCAAUGGGGGCAACCCUGACCGAGCAACGCCGCGUGAGUGAAGAAGGUUUUCGGAUCGUAAAGCUCUGUUGUAAGAGAAGAACGUGUGUGAGAGUGGAAAGUUCACACAGUGACGGUAACUUACCAGAAAGGGACGGCUAACUACGUGCCAGCAGCCGCGGUAAUACGUAGGUCCCGAGCGUUGUCCGGAUUUAUUGGGCGUAAAGCGAGCGCAGGCGGUUUAAUAAGUCUGAAGUUAAAGGCAGUGGCUUAACCAUUGUUCGCUUUGGAAACUGUUAAACUUGAGUGCAGAAGGGGAGAGUGGAAUUCCAUGUGUAGCGGUGAAAUGCGUAGAUAUAUGGAGGAACACCGGUGGCGAAAGCGGCGCUAUGGUCUGUAACUGACGCUGAGGCUCGAAAGCGUGGGGAGCAAACAGG
rnacentral:rRNA from 1 species